rnacentral:lncRNA from 1 species
UUCUGUUACACGUUCUGGUCAGUCAGUCCGACGUGUACCGUACGAGGGCGGUCGGCGCCUUGUGCAGGCGCGAGAGCUGUGGGCCCCUCCCUGGGUGGGGGGGGGUUACCAGUGUGCGGGAAUGCGCGCGCUGUGGGCAGCGCAUCGAUGCAUCACUCGAGGUUGAGCCGCG